GGGGCUGGGGCUCAGUGGUAGAGCGCUCGCCUAGCAUGUGUGAGGCUCUGGGUUUGAUUCUCAGCACCA
rnacentral:tRNA from 1 species